rnacentral:lncRNA from 1 species
UUGGGGAUUCAGUUCUACCACAAUCACAAACAACAGUUUCUUCAUAGCGAUCAACUUCAAUCUUCUCUUCCCAAAUCCCUAGCUUCUCCGAUCGCACACUUCGCUCAAUUUCCUUCAAUUCAUCAAGCUAAGCAUUCUUCUAUUCUUUCCUCUGUUUUAUUUCUUUCAUCUUCAUCAAUUUCGAAUUCAUAGACCUUGAAUUUAGACAAUUUUGAUACAUUUAAUAGAUCUAGGGUUUAACAUGUUACGCAUCAAUCUUCACUUGCAUUUAUCUUAUUCAUAUCAAUCUUCAUUUGUUUUUAUCUGUUUCGUUUCAAUUUAGAUCUGAAUUUUUUGUUGUGAUUAUCGCUUUAUUGUUCCAUUCAUAUAGAGAUGUUAAUUCUUAAAUACUAAUCAACGAGUAAUUAUAUUUAUACCAAUUCAGCAAUGCUUUUAAUAAUCAAUCUGUUUUACAUAAGGUUUUAUUUUACAUGAGAAUUCAUCACAAGUUUUCUAUUGGUAUAUCUGAAAUUGCAUCUGUUAUAUAGUUAAUCCAAAAUCCUAUUUAGUUGCCAAUCUCUAUUAAGUUUUUGACCUAAUUCGUUUGGGAUUUAGUUAGGUACAAUCUAAUGAUCUAACAUGAUAUUAAAGUUGACUAUUGAAUUGUGAUCUAUGGUUAGUUAGUGACUUAGUGAUUUGGCUUUUAAUAAGCUAAUAUUACCGAUAUCAGAAUUAAAAUCAAUGAUUAUAAAAGUAUAUUAAAAGCUGAGCAGUUGAUCGUAGAUUACGAAAGCUUUGGUAUUAGGUUUUUUGGGUCUAAUUAUGAAGAAAUUCGAUCUACAUUUAAAUGAAUCUGCAAUGCUUUUGUAAUGCUUUUAAUAAUCAAUCUGUUUUAUUGAUAGUUCUGUUACGUAGUUUUUAAGUUGGCAAUCUCCAUUAAGUUUUUGACCUAAUUCUUAUUGGAUUUAGUUAGCCCAAUCUAACAUGAUAUCAAAGUUGACUAUUGCAAGUUUGAUCUAUGAUUAGAGGUUUGGCUUUUAAUUAGCUAAUAUUACCGAUUUUAGAAGCAAAAUCAAUUAUGCUAGCAUGUUAAAAGCUGAGCAGUUGACCAUAGAUCACAAAAGCUUUGAUAUUUGUUUUUUGAGUCUAAUUAAAUGCCAUAAAAGCUGAUUUUGUGAUGUUGAAUUUGGUCCAAAAACCCAAGAAUCUGCCAAAUAAUUUCAAAGAGUUGCACAACAAUUUUAUUUAUACUUUAUUUGUUGAUUUAUCGCACUUUCUUUUACUCUAAAUAUUUUGUCACUAUUAAUAUAGCAAGUAAUCUGCACAAUUAGGCACAAAAACGAACGGUUUUAAUCACAUAUAUUAUUUUCAACAACCAUUGAGAAUAUACAUUAACUUGGAAAAGCAUUUUUAAAUAAUUUGUUUUAGGAUGCAUGUUUUUUGGAUAUAAUUUUAUAAUUUGCUAAAAGUUCAAACAAACAUGGGAAGUGAAGAUUCCGAACUUCACAUUCCUGGCGGGAAUAAAACUUGAAUCCAUGAUAUUGAGUGGAGUUUUCUUGAUAAGUGGUUCAGGGGAAAAGAAGUCUGUACAGUUCAGUCCCUUUUUAUUUCAUUGGCACAUGCAAUACUUUUUUCUUUUUUGUUUUUACAUGCUCAGAAAACUCCAUAAGGAGAUUUUCUACGCCAUCCAUCAUGGGACCCAAAAAUAGUUAAACUAGAUACUAUGGCUUAUGAUAUAUUAAAAAAUUGAUGCUAGUUUUUUUAGUACAACUACUAUAGAACCUAAUUAAAUUUGUAAUAGAAUUUAUAUAGCUGUUGAUAUUGGUAAGUUGAUACAGGAUUUCUAUUUUGAACCCGAUAUUUUUUCUGUUUUUGGGUGGGGGUGUUAUGAUUAUUUAUCUCCUUUUCAUAUUGGUGGUUUUCUUCUGUCCUUUUGUCUUUGAAAACUGUGUUUUAUAUCUGGAGAAUUUAGAGAAAUGUAUAAUAACUUAAUUUGUUCUGCCAGACAUUUGUUGCUUCCCCUGAGGAUACAAAGAUUGAUUUGAACCCUCAGAAAAUACGCUUUCUGCCCAUAUACCAGCGUUUCUUUGUAAUGAAGAUUCAUGGCUGGCAUAGCGUAUUCAGAAUCUAGGAUGUAUAUAGGCAUUUCAUUCUUGGUAAGUCUGUCGAUGGCAUUUCUUUCAUUUCUAUAGAGAAUACAUGGUUGUUAGAAAUAUAUUUUGAUUAUCUGCAAUGUAUGGAACUACUUUUAACUAUACUAUUUCUUACUGAAAUACUCUUGUCAUUAUCUCAGAAGGCUGAAAGGUCAUGAGUUUGAUAACGAAUUUUCAGUUUUUUGAAGUUAUUCUCUGUAAAAUCAUUAGUCUAUUAGGGUCCAUAACACUAUUCCUUGCAUUGAUCAUGAAUUCCCUGCUUUAUGUGAAAAGAAAUUAGACAUUCUCUUGGGCUUUUUUUGGGAUUUAUGAGGGGAAAGAAAGGGAGGGAAGUUUCCCUUGUUUGGGGGAAUGCUUUUGGAGGAGAGGGGAAAAGAAGGCUUAUGGGUAAUAUUUUGCUUGUUUUGAUGAGUGUUGUACAAAGAGGCUAAGAGGGAAAGGAUUUAGAGAUUUUUUUUACACCCUCUAAACUAUUCCCCCAAUUCAUUUUUUUCAAUUCCUCCAAAUUGGUGGUUUUGAAGAAAUAUAGACUCUCAUAAAAGGUAGGGAGCUAUCCUCCGUUCUUCCUCCCUUUCACCCCAAAAUCAUUCCCCCUCUUUCCUUCCUAAAUCCCAAACAAAGGCAAGGUCUUGCUCAUUAAGCCUCUAUGUCGGUAAUGGCAUGACUAGUAUAAUAAAAAAUAGGCCAUCAUCAUCCUAGAUGGGCCCACAAUGUGAGUCUGGAUGAACCAUUUUUAAGAAGUGUUGCCUGUUUGAUUCAUUACGUGCUGCAGUUAUGUGCCUCUCUAACAGUCAUUUAACCCCUUGACUAGUUUUAUUAGUUAUGCCACCUGAAUUAUUGAAAAAUAUUAGUAAAUAGCCCCUGAAGUUUUCCCCAAUCAAUCCUGUUAAUCCCUCAAUUAGUCUGUGUCAUUUUACUGCUUCUAAUUGUCAUGUUAGCACUCCAUCUCUAUGUGAAAUCAAGUCAGACCCUUUCUUCCUACAUGUUUGUUAUAUACAUAAAAAAAUACAUCAAAUUAAUCCUUACCAGAUCCUCUCUUUCUAAAUGGUUUUUUUUAACAGUAAAGCAUCUAUUAGAUUAGAAAAUAAUCAAAUUCAUUACAAACGAUAGGAUAAAUCUAGUGUGCGAGACUCCCCACCCCUGUUCCAGAACCUACUUGUUGCUUCAGACAAAGACACAUGCCUAUUAAAGGUGUAGUUUAAAUCAAGCUUGUAGGAAUUAAUGUAGUCCAUGUAGCACUUGAAAACAACCCUUGUAGCUAACUGUAACUAACUAACUAACUGGCAGGUGUCAGUUAGUUAUACUCUCCUAGCCUCCUUGAACACUGUUUGUAGCUUCCAUAAUAUCAAAACAAAAGAAAAUUAGGAUUUAUAAUUCAAUAGAUUGACUUGCAGUCUCCACGCAAACUUUUCCAUAACAUAGAUGAGUUACCUAUCCGUCACUGUUGGCGCUUUCGUCGUCUUGGUCGCAUUCGUCCUCUUUCUCUUCAAUUUCUGAGAAAUUGGACUCUGAAAAUUACCUCUUAUUUUGUCAACAGGUAGAACCUGUAUUGAAACUUUGCAAUAUUCCUUUCUCAAGUAAAAGUACUUCUGAGUUUUGCACUUGUUUGGGAAUAGAACUCAUGCGCAUAGGCUUCCCUCUCAUUCAUCCAUUACCAGAUACAGUCCCCCUCUAGAAUUAAUAUACAGUGGCCUGUGGGGCCCUGCUCCCUUUACCUCUACUACUGAAUUUAUAUAUUACAUUACCUUUGGUGAUGCAUUCAGUAGAUUUAAUUGGAUUUAUCUUCUCAAACAAAACAAAAAAACUGAUGCUUUUUCUAUCUUUCAACAAUUCAAAACCAUGGUUUAUCAGUUCUCAUAAAAUCAAAUAUGUCCAAACUGAUUAGGGUGGUGAAUUUCAACCAUUCACGAAAUUCCUAAACUAGUGUGGUAUUAUACACCAUCUUAUUUGUCCUCACUCCUCACCAAAAUGGUGUUGUUGAGCGAAAACACAGACAAAUUGUUGAACUUGGCGUUAUCUUACUUGCCCAGGCAGCUCUGCUCCUUGCCUAUUGGUAUUAUGCAUUUCUCACCAGUAUGUACCUCAUCAACAGACUUCCCACUUCAACUCUCAGUUUUGAAGUGUCUUACACCACACCCUUCAAAAAAUCAGCCUUACUGUUUUCCUUUGCUUGGGCCAUACAACAAUCAUAAGUUGCAAUUCAGGUCACAUAAGUUCUUUUUCCUUAUUCCACUUUCCAUAAAGGCCAUAAGUGCUUAUCCCAAGAUGACUGCAUUUAAAUCUCUAGGGAUGUAUUAUUUAAUUAUAACAUAGAUUCCCAUGCCUUGAAUUAUUUUCCUCAAAAUUAUUUCACCUCCUCAACCACUACCCCUGCUUCUAUCCCAACUGUACCCUCACUCUCUCCUUCUCCCAAGGCAACCAUUCCCAGCACUAUUAACUAUGGUUCUCCAGUUCAGUCUCUCAUUUACUCUCCCGAAGAGUUUUAUUUUUAAUUUUGAAAAGGUGUAAAAUCUGUCUGUUAAUAAAAAACUGCCUCUGUGCGAGAGGAACAGCACCUAAAGCACUGCAUGUAAGUUUUGUUCUAUUUUUUAUAUAGGAACAGUAUAUACCGUUGUAAUUAGUGUUGCUGAUUUUAUAUUGAUUUAUUUCAGAGUCUAUAUAAUAGAGUCUCCGUGGUGUAGUUGAGUCACAUGGUUUCACCAUAUGUUUUAAUCCGGCACACUUUGACUAUAUGAAUCUUCUGACUUAUCAAUGUUUACAACUUGGCCUGAAGUGCUCUGGCAGGUCCCAAGAAUAUUUAAAAUGGAGGCAGCCUCUUUCUAGUUGACCCUUACAAAUAACUGACUAUAACUACAAACUGCAAGUGUGAUAUUUGGGAUGCAUUCCAAGCCGCCUUAAUACCAUGGAUCUUUCCCAAUCCCACCUCUUUAUGAAUCAUACCAAACAAAACAUUAUCACACAAAAUAAACAAGUUAUGGGACAAAGGGUCACUUUGCCUCAGGCCAAACUCUGGUGAGAAACUUACUCGACUGCCCAUUGAUAAAGAUCUAACAGGAAACAGAAUGAUGCAUUUCGUGAUCACAUUCGUCAAGUGUUUUGGGAAACCCAUUGUGUCAUCCUCCUUUUCUUACCUUUGGUCUUCUUUAGCCAAUGGAAGCAUUCCAUUGCAAUCAAAGCAUUUUCGGUGGUGAGCCUUCCUUUAAUAAAGGCACAUUGUUCUUCAUCAACAAUCUCAGGAAUGAUUCCUUUUAGUUUAUGGGCUACAAUCAGUAACUGUCUUUAUGACCACAUUGCAAAGACUAGGCAAUGAAAGUUUUAUUUAUGCCUCUAGAGAAAUCCCCCUGUUAAGAAUAACUAAAACCGACUACUGAACCUCUUGGCCAACAAUAUUCCAGUACUUCGGAAGAAAAGGGUUGGGAGCCCAUUAUAGCCUUGGUACCUUGAGAAGAUGCAUAUGAUUAAGGUUCUCCUUAAUUCCUUCCUUUGGAAAAGUGGUUGCACAAGACUUUUGAUCCUCACUCCGUCUUCUCCUCACAGCAUCACGGGUCUAAUAUAACUCUGAUGAGAAAGAAGUGGAGAAAACAUAAGAGAAAUGGUUUCUCUUCCUACAUGGUUUCAUGAUUUCUCCUACUGAUUUCUGUUUUUAGGACUGCAAUUUGUGUUUUUUAUAUGACCCUAUCUCCCUACAUGGUUUCAUUAUUUUGGCUACUGGUUUCGGUUUUGGGAACUGGAACUUUUGUUUUCUAUCAGAGCCUAUCUUCCUACAUGGUUUCAUAAUUUUGGCUUCUGGUUCUUGUUUCUACGACUGCAACUUAUGUUUUUUAUAAGACCCUCUUUCUACAUGGUUUCAUAUUUUUACUUCUGGUUUGUGGUUCUGUUUUUAGGACUGCAAUUUCUGUUGUUACAAGUUUCUAGUUAGGACUGCUACUUCUUUUUUUUCUUUUUUAUGGUUUCAUGCUUUUAGACUUCUUAAAACAUGCUUCUAUUUUUACCAAUGGUUCUUUGCUCAGACUGGUUUCAAUGAUUUGCCAAUGGUUCAAAAUUGGGCAGCAUACAUGUAGAGUAUUUUGGUUAUCAACUUUGGUUUCAAUUAUAAGAUGCCUAAUAUAGUAUUAUUGGCAUGUAGAUUUUGACAUGUAGACAUGAAAUAUGCUGCAUAUUUAACAUGACUGAUUAACAUGACUGAUAUACUGCUGUUUUUAAUUCCGCAAUCUACGCAUUAGUGCUUUAUGCACAUGCAUAAUAUUACGCAGUCUGUUUUAUACGACCAUGCACAAACGAAGUGGCUGUGACAUGGUUGGUUAAAAAUUUGUUUGAGCUGAGAUGCCUACCAAAGAAUUAUGCAUCUGGUUUUCAAAUGUUAUAAGAUGCCUUAAUACAUAGGAUUGAUAGACAGCACUUGAAAUAUGCAAAAAAAAAUUUAUUAUACACAUGCAUAGUAUCAUGCAGUCGGUGGUGAUUUAUAUUACAGAUGCACCAAAUAAGUGGUUGGGUCAUGUUAAAAAUCUGUUUGGGCAGAGAUGUGUUAUUUUGUUUCAUACGGAAAAAUAUGAUUAGGG